rnacentral:rRNA from 1 species
UAAUGGCGAAUGAACAGGGUCACGCUCAGCAUCAAAAUCGGGGCCCGCGGGCCUGAGUUGUAGUCUCUGGAGGUGCUACCAAGAGAGGCGCUGCUGUACGUCUUUUGGAAACGAGCAUCGACGAGGGUGAGGGUCCCGUUUGUCAGCAGCAGCCAACUGUGCACGGUGCACAUUCUAAGAGUCACGUUCCUUGGGAUUGGAGCGCAAUGUGGGUGGUAAGCUUCAUCUCAAGCUACACAUGGGCUCGAGACCGAUAGCAAACAAGUACUAUGAGGGAAAGGUGAAAAGCACUUUGAAAAGAAAGGUAAAGUACCUGAAAUCGCUGAAGAGGAAGUGAGCGAAGCCAGUAUGUCUUGGCGAGAUUGCUGCACACGCGUGCCAGUGCUUGCUGCGCCAGCACUUGUGUGGCAUUAAGCCCCGAGCAAGUCCUGCGCAGUGCUUCUUGCCUUGCCCACCAACGGCUCUCCAUGCUUGAGGACGCUUUCAAGGACACGGUAGCUGCACCCCAUGAAGCGAAUAUUUUUGUUUGCACUCAUGUGAGGGGUGCACG